GCUCUAAUUUCUACCAUAGAGUUAUCGCGGGCUAGCACGACUUCUCAUUCUACGGGCCAUAGCGACUACCGGCGCUUUCCUGCCAUUAUCGGAUGUUGAAUGUCUAUGCUUCCCUUUCCCGCGUCUUUUCUCCGAGGGCAUGCUGGGAAACGUUAUUAAAGAAACCCACCUUCCGUUUCAUUGGUCUUUCCUGUGCGGAGCUCAGCAAGGUGGUAAGUCUCGGCGGGAGCUGUUAGGGAGAAGGAUUACUACAGAAUUGGUGGAAAGAAGAAGGUGCUUUAGUAAUUGACUACAGAAUUCAUCUGCAACUGACAAAUUGAUGUACAGUAUUUCAAAGUUUUAUAUUUCAAUAAAAAUACUUUAAACACUGAA